rnacentral:rRNA from 1 species
GCUAUAAUUGUCAGCUAAGUGGCGCACGGGUGAGUAAUGUAUAGAUAACCUGCCCUUAAGAAAGGAAUAACAGUUGGAAACGACUGCUAAUGCCCUAUAUGCCUUUAAUACAUAAGUAUGCAAGGGAAACGCUUUAGUGCUUAAGGAUGGGUCUGUAUGGUAUCAGCUUGUUGGUGAGGUAAUGGCUCACCAAGGCUAUGACGCCUAACUGGUAUGAGAGGACGAUCAGUCACACUGGAACUGAGACACGGUCCAGACUCCUACGGGAGGCAGCAGUGGGGAAUAUUGCACAAUGGACGAAAGUCUGAUGCAGCAACGCCGCGUGGAGGAUGACACAUUUCGGUGCGUAAACUCCUUUUAUAUAGGAAGAUAAUGACGGUACUAUAUGAAUAAGCACCGGCUAACUCCGUGCCAGCAGCCGCGGUAAUACGGAGGGUGCAAGCGUUACUCGGAAUCACUGGGCGUAAAGAGCGUGUAGGCGGAUUUGUAAGUUGGGAGUGAAAGCCUAUGGCUCAACCAUAGAACUGCUUCCAAAACUGCAUGUCUAGAGUGUGGGAGAGGUAGAUGGAAUUUCUGGUGUAGGGGUAAAAUCCGUAGAGAUCAGAAGGAAUACCGAUUGCGAAGGCGAUCUACUGGAACAUAACUGACGCUGAGACGCGAAAGCGUGGGGAGCAAACAGGAUUAGAUACCCUGGUAGUCCACGCCCUAAACGAUGUACACUAGUUGUUGUGAGGUUCGACCUUGCAGUAAUGCAGUUAACACAGUAAGUGUACCGCCUGGGGAGUACGGUCGCAAGAUUAA